rnacentral:rRNA from 1 species
GAUGAACGCUGGCGGCGUGCCUAAUACAUGCAAGUCGAGCGAACAGACGAUGAGCUUGCUCCUCUGACGUUCGCGUCGGACGGGUGCGUAACACGUGGAUAACCUACCUAUACUACUUGGAUACCUUCGGGAAACCGUAGCUAAUACCGGAUAAUAUAUUUAACCGCAUGGUUCAAUAUUUAAAGACUGUUUUUCUGUCACUUAUAUAUGGAUCCGCGCCGCAUUAACUAUUUGGUAAGGUAACUUCUUACCAAGCCCACGAUGCGUAGCCGACCUGAGAGGGAGAUCGGCCACACUGGAACUGAGACAAGGUCCAGACUACUAAGAAAGGCAGCAGUAGGGAAUCUUCAGAAAUGGGCGAAAGCCUGACGGAGAAACGCCGCGUGAGUGAUGAAGGGCUUCGGAUAGUAAAAAUCAGUUAUUGGGGAAGAAGAAAUGUGUAAGUAACUAUGCACGACUUGAAGGUACCUAAUCAGAAAGCCACGGCUAACUACGUG